AGCUUCGAUUUGACCCUCAGCCUGGGUUGUCGUGGGUGUGGCUGCAAAAAAAAAAAAAAAACAUUCAAGAAAAAGCUGAAGGCUUGGGCUAGCUGAUGGCAGGGAAGAAAGUGGGAAGGAUGAAAGAUACACGGGAAGCAGAGGGCAGCACUGCUGUGUUGCCUUUCCUGAGGGCGAUAUGUGGGCCAACCACCCAAAGAGAGUGUGGAGAGAGGGGCGCCAUUCCCUCUGUCCUGAGACAGAAGGUGAAUUGCAGGGCAAAAGAAGCUGUACAAAGGGACAUUAGGCAGUGAGGACCCCAAAUUAACCCAGAACCACAAUUGCAGUGACUUGAAUCACCAAAUCAAAGGAAGUAAAAAGUUUGAUGUGAACUCUAGAUCUGAAGGAACUGGAAUUACCUCAGAGAAUGUCUCAGAAUGAAUAGAAACAUCUUGAAGAACCAGGCUGAUGAGAGAAAUAUGUGGUGAUAGAGCCACUGUGUAGAAAACCACAGGGGCUUCUCCCUCUCCCUUCUAAGGAAUGGAGCCCUGUACCGAUGGGCUAUGGCCUCACGCUAUUAGAAGCCCCUGCCAUGUUGGGCACAGGCCCAGCAAAAGACACGAUGUUGGGGAGGGGCACAGGUCAGUGCAUGACCAGGAGUUUACCAACAGGUAAUUUAGCUUAUUUCAUCUCAGUUCAACAGGCUCCAUGCUAGGGCACUACCAAGAUGAGUGAGACACCAGGCCUGUCCACCAGGAGCUCUUAGACCAAAGGGGAGUUGCCAUGCCAACAAACCAAUAUGGAAAGUUUAGAAAUGGCUUGGUAGGCAUCAAGGAUCAUGCUGGGGAUGAGGUCAGGUACAGUUAAAAAAAGAAAGAAAAAAAAGAAAAAACAAGAGCAAAUGUGUUGGCUGUGGAAAUCAAUGACUCACAUGCAGAUCUUUGAUUAACAGACUUUAACUGAUCUUAUGGAACUUUUCAAACAUACGAAAACACUGAGUGAAUAUUAUACUGAACCUCAGGUGCCCCUCACAGAGCUGCUUCUUUGAUCUGUAACACACCUCUCCAUUACUUCUCCCUCUUUCCUCUCUUUUUCUGGAUUAUUUUAGAGCAAAUCCCAAACCUUAAAUGAUUUCAUCUAGAAAUACUUUGGUAUGUUAUCACCAAGAGAUAAGUGCUCAGGAGUGCACGUGUGUGCACAUUUUCUCUCUUUCUCUCUGUCUCUCUCUAAUCUGAAUUUUACAAAUAUUGUGGAGCAAAAGGGAGUAUUUACGUAAACCAUCCAAGAAUCUUUCACAAUAAAAGGGAGGCUGGCAUUGCUAUGCUAGCUGCAAGAGCCAGAAGCCAAAAACAAAACAAAACCAAAAACCACAGAGAGAGAGAGAGAAACAGACAGAGAGCGAGGCAGUGACAGCCACAGAAGUAACUGCUGUGGAAUUGGAGAAAGCAGUGAGAAGAGGAACUUCUGGAAGGAGAGUAGAAAAUGAAGACAACUUUCAGGAAAAUCUGGAACACAGAGGAGUGACUGACUCAAAUAUGAUGAAAAUAUAAUGGCGUUUUUCAUUGUAAUAACUACUGCAUGUAGCACUUCCCAGCUACAAAGUGUCCGCACGUACGUUUUCUCCUUUGAUCCUUACCAGGCAAGGGUGAGGAGCUGCUUUCUUUGGAUCAUCCAAAAACUUUGAGUUUCUGCUCUGAGACUGCACACAAGGUAUCAGCCCUCGUGUAUUUCUGGAGAGACUUUAACAGAUCAAAGGGAGCGUCUGCUUUCUCCCCAAGCACAUGUCUGCCGGGAGCCCUGCUUGUUGUGGAGCAAAGAUGGCUCAGCUCUGGCAGCCCAGUUUAUAUCCUUCUGACUCUGUGGAGAAACUUGCCUUUUUAAAAAAAAAAAUCAAACUUCAGAAGGAUCCAAAAACAUCAUCAGUCAUUGUAAAAAGGGUUUUAUUAUAUCUGCCAGAAGAGUUUGAUGGUGUUGGACUGUUGAUUAGUAUGUCGUCUCCUUUAGUAAUCCAAAAAAAAGUUGUUAAUAUUGGCAACAAAAACGAAUUGGUUUCACGAGCUUACCAGCAGUUUUGGAGGAUUUAUAGUUUGUCAGAAUGAACCAAGAAGGCAAACUGCUUUGGCUGGGCUGCAAUCCCCAAGUUGCCAGCCAAUCUGAUCAAUUUGGGACAGUGAAUUGACUUCCCUGUCAGUUUUGCUCAAUCUCAGCUCUGAACUUCCUGUUUCACUGGACACCAUCGCAGCUCAAAUCAACCCUGUUGUGGACAGAACUCCAGUGGUGACAUCUUGGAAAGAUGGAGAAAAUGGCAGGAUUGACUACUCUAAGCCCUGGAUCACUUCCAGAAGACAACUUCUGCAUGCAAGCCAACGACUCUAUUUUCACCAAGUUAAAAGUUCAAAAGACUUGCCCGGAAAGUCAGAACUUCUGUAGCUGGACAACUGGUGUUCCAGUGUGAUCAUGUCUGGCCUUUCAAUGUAAAAACUGAAGCACUUUGUAAAACCUGAAAACAGUUUAAGACAUUAAAAAGAUAGAUGCCUCCCCCACCAAAAAAGGAAUUUUCAUGCACUGUAGAAACCAUUCAGAGGCAAAACAUCACAUCCUAAUGAAUAUAAUAGGGUCUUGCAUCCCCCUCUUAUUUGAACACAACUCUCAUUGACUUAAAAGUGACAUUUCCAAACGGGCUGCAAGAAUGAUUUGUCCCCUAGACAAAGCAGACUGCAUUUGUUCUGGUAGAAUGGCUUCUCUUCUUUGUCUCCGGAUAAUUUGAUACAGCAUUCAUUCAUUCGAGUGUGACUCUCAUUUGAAAAUUUUCUCAAUGAGACCAUUUAAAAAAUAUUUUUUAAUCUGGAGCUUUCAUGACUUCCUCUAAGGCUUCUUUCAGCCUUUAGCCUUGUCCCUGUUAACUUAAUAGAACUGGCAAACAUUGACAUUUUGAAAUAAAAUUUUUCACAGUAAAUUUCAAUGCAAAACUGAUCAUUUCCCCUUAAAACUUUGUUUGGGCUAUGCAUGUGCAGAUUGCGCCUAGUUUUAGGACUAAUGAUUUUCUGAGUACUGCAAGAUGUUUUUUCCCCCAGAUAAAAUAGGUUAUCAGCCUUCAAACAUGGAAGAGGUCAAUUAAAUGACAUCUAGUGUCUUUCACACGCCUGAGGCUAUUUUAAGAGGAGAAGCAAAUCUCUGUGCAUUUAAAAACAGUGCCAUGGAAACAGUGCCAAGAGCUGCAGGUAACAUUAUUUCUCUCCUGGGAAAAGUGCACCACUGGGGGCCGGUCUCCUUUCUACCCACCUUCUCCAGUCUUCUGCACUUCCUGGCCCUUUAGGUCAGAAUUCCCAUAAAUUUCAGAGAACUGCCGUUUUCUCACAGCAGAGGUGAGAUGGGGAAGAGGAGACCCCAAAUCACAUCUUCAUUAACUCAAACAAAGCAGCCUUGCAGGGUUUACAGUUUAAGCCUAUGAAUCUUCUCCGUGAUGGUUCCCAUGUCUCUCAGAAUAAACAAUGUGGAAAGAAAAA